GCCGCUCUGGUCCAACUGGGAGAGACGCCGCGUUCAGAGCGCGGAGGUUCCGGGUUCGAAUCCCGGGAGCGGUAC
rnacentral:tRNA from 1 species